UGACCUCGGAUCAGGUAGGGAUACCCGCUGAACUUAAGCAUAUCAAUAAAGCGGAGGA
rnacentral:rRNA from 1 species